UACAGAGGUCUCAAGCGUUGUUCGGAUUCAUUGGGCGUAAAGGGCGCGUAGGCGGCUUGGCAAGUGGAAGGUGAAAUCCCUCGGCUCAACUGAGGAACUGCCCUCCAAACUGCUUUGCUUGAGGCCGGGAGAGGCGAGUGGAAUUCCCAGUGUAGCGGUGAAAUGCGUAGAUAUUGGGAGGAACACCAGUGGCGAAGGCGGCUCGCUGGACCGGUUCUGACGCUGAUGCGCGAAAGCGUGGGGAGCAAACGGG
rnacentral:rRNA from 1 species